rnacentral:pre_miRNA from 1 species
AAUAAGUGCAGCCGUGGGUAUCCGUGUCCAACAUUUGACUAUCCAUCUUAUUUAAAAAAUUUAUAAAAAAAUAGUCACAUAUAAAGUAUUAUUUAUGUUCUAUCAUCUAAUAAUAAUAAAAAUACUAAUUAUAAAAAAAAUUCAAAUAAAACGAAUAGUCAAACGUUGGAUAUGAAUAAUGCAAAACUGUAUUUUUU